rnacentral:lncRNA from 1 species
AUUCUUUUUCAUCUUACAAAUAUUGUUAAAAUUCCAGUGUGCUUUGAUGCAACAUUUGAUAUUUUCAUUUCCCCAAACAUUUGCUAAUCAUCCAUUUUGAGAGGAGACAAGGUUUUUCUUCAUGGUUUUCAGCCAUGGGGUGCUUUGACAAAUGUCUUGCUAUUCGAUAUGAAUAAACUUAGUUUGCCUUCAGAUUUAAUGAUAAAAUAAUCUCUGGCCUGUGUUUGUAAACACACACCUUAAAAGCUAGUCAUUUGUAAAAACGAGUAAGGGUCCCAAACUUCAUCUUCCACCCAGGUCUCCUUUCUUGAGCCCUCGUUUAGUCAGCUGUUCUUGUUUCCUUGGGAUUUCUGACCCUGCAUUUGGUUCUCUCCAGUCUAACCGCAUUGGGAGAGCUCAUAAAGCAGCAGUGUAUUAUGUCAUGGAUUCCGCAGAGCUUCUGCAGCCUUCUCUCCCAACAAAAGUGGUUGGAGCAGCUCUGAGGUCCUCCGUAGCUGUUUUUCAAAGAUUCUCCUGUGUGUCAAAGAAGGGCAGCACUUACAAUGGAAGGAUACAGAGCUGGGACCCAGGCAUCCAGAGGUUGAAAGAAAGGUGGAGUGAGACCUCCCAGCGUGACCAGAUAGCCAGAACUGGUCAGUUCAGAGCAUUUGAGACCCCUGCCUCAGGAUGGGCACCUCCUAACCCAGAAAAAGCAUUCUAGGUGAUUUCUCUCUUUCGCUGUGUAUACAGCUGGCUACAUCAUGAUGCUGCUAUGAGUCAGAUCCUGUUUUAUAUUCACUUUGUCUCAUUGCAUCUUCCCAGCAUUGCUGUGAGCUCCCUGGAGGAUACCUGGAAUGGAGCUUGCAAUAGCUUUACCUGCCUGCCUGCCUGUCCUGUGGCUCUGCCCAGCUUCCAUCUUUCCAAGAGGAGAAGAAUAGUUGUGAGGGCUUCUUCACACCCCACAGGCUGGGACAACAAGCCAAGCCCUCCUUCUCUCUCUCUCUUCCCAAGUGUCAGAGCAUCCUCAGGUGGUGCUUUGUGCUUUGCUGCAGUAGCUGUGAAGAGAUACCUCACGUCCAAGAUAAGAGAAGCCCAUGUAAGACGAGCAAGUGCUAGUGAAUCUGGAGGACUUUAAUUCAGACCUUCAUCACUAUUGAAUUAACUGAUUGGCCUUCCCUUGGUUUAAGUGGGGGGUGGGGAGGUGCAAAAGAAUAAAGAGAAAAGACUGUUUUUGAGUAUCAGUUGCUGGU